rnacentral:piRNA from 1 species
UUCUGAUCCUUUUUUAUUGUU